ensembl:lncRNA TICAM2-AS1 TICAM2 antisense RNA 1
AGUCAGCCCGCGGCUUUUCUGUCUUCCUUUCUGGCCCAGCGAGAGCGCCCAGGGGGUGGGCGUCUUGCCCCGGGCGUCGAGAGUUUGGGGCCGUCCCGUACGCGGCGCGCCGCAACCCAGUCCCCGCGACCACAGCAGCCUGCUCCCCACCGCGCUUGCAGAGCCCGGACGCGCGUGAGUCGGGGGCCCGCAGAGGCCUCACCCUUGGAGGUCGCCGCUUGUCAGGCCUGACUGCUGUUGGCGCCCACCCCGCCGCCCCCGAGGGGCCGCUCGAGGCCGGACUGCUGCUUUGCCGUGGCAGGCCCCACCCGGGACGUGGCGCUGCGGGCCGGGGCGGUCCAGCUGCAAUCCCUACUCCCUGCCAAAGGAGAACCCAGUUACUGAACAUCGGAUGAGACCAUGGAUAGUAAAUUGGGAGUGAAGGUCCAUACCUGGGUCUCAGAAGCACAGUACAGUUACACCAGCCUCCUGAGUAUGACAGCAACAUUCCUUCAGGGAUUAAAGAAAAUGCUUCAGAAGAUUGGAACACUGCUCAGCCUUCCCAACCUUCUUUUACCACUGAUGUUUCUACCUUAGUGAUCUUCCUCCUUAUUUUAAUGCUUCUUUCUCUUUACAAUUAAAAGUUCAUAAAAUCUUUCAACAUUAUUUUUCACUACAAAAGUCUGAAGUUCUCUGUGAAAUGCCUACAUGUAAGAAUUAAGAUAGAUUUUAAAGACUGUCAGUCUCAAAAUUCCAUGCUCAUCAGUUAGUGCAUGAUAUUAAAUUAUGCUUUUUUCCUCCUUUUAAAUAUACCAACAUUAUAUUGCUGAUUUUUUUAUUUACCUGGGUAAGAGCACUGACUCGGUUCUCACUAGGAAACAAAGGUGGGUCUUCUCCAACUUGAAAAUCAAAAUAUACAGUUUUAUGUGUGAAAGUAGAAAAUUCAUUGCUGAAGCAAAAUUUGUAUGUCCCAUUUUUGGAGGCUGUGAAGGUAAAACUAUCAUACUGUUUCUUCAUCUCUUUGUAUAACACUUUACCAUCAGGAUCUUCUAAUCGACAAUCUACAUCAUAGUGACCACCAGUAAUCACCUGUAAGAGAUUAAAAAAGAAAAAUCACUGUGAAAAGUGUGAAAAAUUAAUCAGAUUUAAUCAGAUUUCCUAUUAAAAUGGCAAUAAGGUGAUGGGCAAAGGACUUUUACUAUCUUUUUAAAUUUUCACCAGUGGAUGGAACUUGGGAGAUUUUACUUCAACUAAACUUUACAGAAACUGAACAAGUAUUCUCCAACUUUUAUUCACUUUGAACUAGCCAGACAACUGUGCUAAUUAAUGGAGAUCUAUUAGAUCACUUAAUUCUCCCAGCAACCCUACAAUAUACUUUUUUCCUUCCAUUUGACAGACUGAAAAACUGAUGUUAAAUAAGCGAACUAUUCAAGACUGUUCAUCUAAAUUAAGUGGGAAAGGCAGAACUUGAACUCCAAAGUCAUAUUCUUAACCUCUAAGCUUACUGCCUGCAAUAUUUUCCUUCUGAAAAUUUUCUAACCCACUUUCCUAUUAGCAUCAUCCAAGCACACACACAGUGAAGUAACAAGGUAGGCCAAUCCUUAGGAUUACACCCCAUUCAUACUUCUAUCAUAGAACUUAAGCUCAUUUUACUGCCAAAUUACAAAUAGAUUACAUUUAUUAAGUUCUUUUAUAGUCAGUUAUAUGGAAUUUGAUAUACAUUUUGUUUUGAACUACACUAUAAGUUGAGUAACGGAGUGGGCUAUUCUAAAAGUAUAUAAUCAUUUACAACCUUGUUUUGAGGAGAGACACGUAACUGAUUAAAUAAAAUAUUGUUGAAACUCUUGUGAUUAAAGCAAAAACAAAAUAACAUGAAGGACAACAAGUCUGUUUAUCUAGAAAGCCAGUACUUAAUGGCAAACAUACUGAAUGGAAGCCUGGAGGUAGGUGAUAUGAGUCUGAACAGAACUGUGGAACUACUUUCCACGGCUUAUGCUUAAUCAGUUACAAUUCCAGCCAUUUGGGUUGUACAGAGGAGGGAGAGAUUUUUCCUGCGGUAACUGGAUAAGUAUUGUAAGAGACAAAAGGGGGAAAGGAUUAAAGAGAAAGGCUUCCUUACAUGAGAAAGAACUGAGUAGGAAGAAAGAGGGAGUGCAGAGAGGUGAACAGAGUGAACGUAUACACAUUGGGUUGAAUGAAGGGUUCCCAAACCACCAUGUGAUUGGGGAGCACAAGAUUGUUAUUUUCAACCUUGAACUCUCUUGGUUAGCAUCCUGACAUUCUAGGUCAAACUUUGGAUUUAAAAGAAGGAUCUGUGUGACCUUUUCUCACUUGAGAGAAGAUGACUAAUGAACUAUGUUACAUAUCAUUUUGAUAAUCUAAUGAAAAUAAUUAUGCACUUAUGAAACUGUAAAAAUAUGUAAAUGUUAAUAUACAGAUAAAAUGUUUUGAUAUAAAAGUGUCUUAUCAAUUGGGGAUUUACCAAUCCCCAUCCUCACCAAAAAGUCAGUAACUUUUUCUCCAGGUGAAAAUAACUUCAUUUUGCUAUACUGAAUUAUACGUAUUUGACCAUUGUAUUCUGAAUAAUCAAACACAUACAUACAAACCGAAUAGCACCAGAACUUAUCAUCACCCCACUUCUCUUCCAUCAAACUUAAAACAAGUAAUCUCACUUAACAGUAUCCCUUUAAACCUGUCCAAUCACCUACUAUUGAAACUGAGGAUCAUCCCAAACUAACUGUCCCUAUCUAUCCAUAUGAUCACACAAAUCUCUCAAUCUUUUUGCCCCUCUCAAAUUCAUCGCAUUCCGAAACCACAAUCCAGACAGGACUAUUGCCACAACUUCCUAAAAGGUCUUCCCACUACCCAAUAUCUUCUCCCUCGAACUCAGGGUUUCUCAACCUCGCAUUAUUCCCAUUUUGAACUGAAUAAUUCUGUGUUGUAGGAGGCUGUAUGGUCCUGUGCACUGUGACACGUUAAACAGCAUACCUGGUCUCUAACUACUAGAUGCAGGUAGCUGCCCUUCUCCUAAAAUGAUGCCGAAUGUCUCCUGGGAAGAAGGGGUGCCCAUCUCCCCAUCUUUCCUCAUUCCCCAUUGAGCAAUCACUUAAAAACUUUUUGAUAAUUACCUGUGGCCUGCAGACAAAUCUAAACCUCUUAACAAUGGUAUACUAUUCACAUGUUCUUCCUCCCAGGUAGCUUCAGAACCUCUUUUAUUCACACCCUUACUCGUUCUAUGUUCCUAAAAUACCAGACUACCAGAAAUUCUCUGAACAAGUCUUUGCUUUACAUCUGCACUGACAGUGCAGUUCAACAGGGUUUGCUAAAGAAUCACACGGAUCAAAAUGACAGUGUUUGCAAAUCUACAGUUUAUUACUGUAGGUUAUGUUAUAAAUCUACAGUUUAUAACAUUAUACGACUAUAUAUGUCUAUGUAAGCUCUCUGAGGUCAGAGUCAGUCUCUGGGAGGUAGUAUAAUAAAGUGGCUAAGAAUUUAACUUGGGACUGAAAAGAGCCCCAAAAGGAAAAGAAUAUAAAACAUUACAGCCAAAGGCUGCCUCACAGCAAGAGAUCUGAAAAGGUCAGGUGUGGGCUCCUUCGGCUUCCCUUUGUUAGGUGUGUGGCCAGACAUAUACUCUCUCAGAUCUGGAACCACCCAAGUGUGCAAAGAAAACACCCUGGAACCAAGCAACCCAAAAUAGAGUCCUGAUUGCAUUUUUAAAUAUUUUGCUGGUCACAUAGGCAUAUUCCUGCUACGCAGCUAGUCUCAACAACAGAGCUCUGGGUUGGGGGUGUGGUCUCAUGAAGACCAGGAGCAAAUCAUCAAUCUCAUUGUUACCAAUAAAUAAUGUUGACAAACUGGUACAAACUGCCCCCAAAGCCCUUGGACUCACAGUCACAAAGCUAUUAUAAUAGCUUCAUAUUAAAGCUAAUAAUAAUAGUUUUGUGACUAUUAAUAAAUAUAACUAUAGUCACAAAACUAUUAUUAUUCAGUGUAUUUUCAAUGCCAUGCACAAAUGUUAGCAAUAUAGCUCAGGCUAAUUUCAGGCCUGCUGGAACUGUCAUGAACAUAUCUGCCUGGGGCCCCUUCUUCUCUCCUCUGCCGCCUUGUAGAGCAACGGCUACUUAUCUUGCAGACUCACCUCUAACAUCAGCUCCUCAGCUAAAUGUCCCCUGAUGAUCCUUCUGUCUCCUGCCAGCACUAUACCUAGUGUGUACCUUUAUUGUCACAUUUAACAUUUUAUGACUAUAUAUGUCUGUGUAAGCUCUCUGAGAUCAAAGUCAGUCUCUGGGAGGUAG